rnacentral:misc_RNA from 1 species
GAUGAAGAACGCAGCGAAAUGCGAUAAGUAAUGUGAAUUGCAGAAUUCAGUGAAUCAUCGAAUCUUUGAACGCACCUUGCGCCCUUUGGACUUCUGAAGGGCAUGCCUGUUUGAGUAUCAUGAACACCUCAACUCCUUAUGGUCUUCCAUGAUGAGCUUGGACUUUGGGGGUUUUGCUGGCCUACAGUCAGCUCCUCUAAAAUAAAUCAGCUUACCGGUGUUUGGUGGGUAUCAUGGGUGUGAUAACUAUCUACGCUCGUGGUUUUACACCAGGUAACCUUCAGCAGUGGAGGUUCACUGGAGCUCAUAGAUGUCUCUCCUCAGCGAGGACAGCCCUUUGAAUGUUUGAUCUCAAAUCAGGUAGGACUACCCGCUGAACUUAAGCAUAUCAAUAACGGAGGA